GAUGAGUUUCUUGUAAAAUUCCCGUUCUGAUUGCAAAAGCAUGGAUAGACUUACCUUGGAGUUGGCUGCAGCAUACAGGCAAUAAAUUUAGCAAUGUUACACAAUUUGGUCUCUGACCCUCCUUUAUCAUUCGUCUAAAGAAGAUCAAAACCUCAUUCUUGAGACUGUGAUGUCGAAUACCACCAAUUAGGGCAUUCCAGGAUACCACACACCUUUUGGGCAUAUCUUCAAAAAGUAAUCUUCCAGCAUCUAGAUCUCCACACUUACAAUACAUGCUAAUAAGUGCAUUUACUAAAGAAAUGUCAGAGGCAAACCCAUUUUUGAUAGCAUAACCAUGAAGCGUCGUCCCUUGACCCAAAUUUUCAGAGUCACAAUACAUAGGGAGAAUGCUUAUCAGGGUAACUAAAUCCAAUGCCAGGCCCUUUUCCUGCAGCUGAUGAAGAAGUUCAGCUGCCUUUCUGAAUUCUCCAGUGUGUACACACCCAGAUAUUAUAGUGUUCCAUGAUACAGAAUUCCAGCUAUCCAUCGUGAAAAACAGCUUAAAAGAAAAGGCAAGGUGAUUACAAUCAGAGUAAAAUGCCAGGAGUGCAUUUGACACACUUAGGUUUGAGUUGAUUCCCUUUCUAAUGCUAAAUGCGUGGGCAGACUUACCAAGUAAAACGGCCUCCAGUUUGGAGCAAGCAGAAAGGACGCUAACUAGAGACACUGCAUCUGGAAUAAAUCCACGCAAUUGCAUUUCACAAAAGGUUUCCAAACUUGCUUCCCACAGUCCAUUAUGCACAUGUCCAGAAACCAUCACAUUCCAUGAUAAGAUGUUUCUAUUAGGGAUCCACUCAAAAAUAAAUUUCGCUUUACUGAUAUGCCCAAGCUUGGCAUACUCGGACACAAGGGCUGUUAACACAGAAACAUGAUUUUCUGAUCCACGUUUUAUAACACAAGCAUGAAAGGAUUCACAAAACCAGAUACUAUUGACGAUCUCACAAGAAGGAAUAAUUGACACAAAAGUGACUGAAUUAGGCUGUACAUCUGAAUGGAGCAUUUUUUGAAAAAUCUCAAAUGCUUCAAAAGGCAUCUGCUUUUGCACAUAAGCUGAAAUAAUAGCAUUCCAAACAGCUACAUUCUUCUCUGGCACAAAAUCGAACAAGUUUCUAGCAGCAGACAAAUGCAUAUCACUAGCAUACAUUGAAAUUAAAGCAGGCACCAGAAAAUCAUUCACAAGAUAUCCAGACUUAACAGCAAAGCAAUGGAGAGAUUUUCCAAUAUCCAAACAUCCUGAACGGCUGCAAACUGGAAUUACACUAGCCAGAGUGCUCAAAUUGGGCUUUAAACCCACUGAAAAGAUAUGCUUGAAAAUCUCUAAGGAUUUAUGUUCAUACCCAAGAAAAGAAUAACCAGCAAGCAAAGCAUUCCAAGAAACCAAGUCUGGUUGCGGAAUUCUAUCAAUCAGUGCACGUGCAGUCCUUAAGUUGCCAUUCUUUGAAUAAAAAUCAAUCAAAGCAGUCUGGAUAACCACAUUUUGGCCGUACCCAGUUCUCAAAACAACACAGUGAAUCUCUUUUCCUAUCCCAAAAGCACCAAGAGCCGAACACGCCUUUAUCACAAAAGGAAACGUAAAAUGAUCAGAUGGGCAACCAGAAACCCGACAGUUCAAAUACACAGACAGGACAUGUUCGUGUAAUCCAUGAUUGCUAAGACCCCUAAUCACCAAUUUUCGCAGGAAGACGCUUGGUUUUCUGAUAGUAUUGAAGGUUGAGAGAGCUAUAUCAAAAGCACCCAGAUGAAAACAAGCCUUUAAAAGCUGUCCUAGUAGACCCUUGUGUUCAAUUAGACCAUGCAAGACAAGAAGAGACGUGAGAUACUUGAGGUGAUUGGCUUUUUUGCAGAGAGGUAAGAAAUGGAGGAAUUUGAAGACUUUGGAAUUGAAUGAAUAGUACAUUGAAGGGUUGUUUACUGGGUGCUGUUUGUGCCUGGGAGAUGGGAAAGUGGCGCAAAAACAAGAAAUGGCUGGAGAGAGAUGUGGGAAAGUGUAUCGAGAUGGGAGACACCAUGGAAGGAAGAUUCAUAGGUAUAUGGUAAGCCAUCACUGGCUUAU
rnacentral:misc_RNA from 1 species